CGUAGGUGGCAAGCGUUGUCCGGAUUUAUUGGGUUUAAAGGGUGCGUAGGCGGCCUAUUAAGUCAGUUCUGAAAUAUCCCGGCUUAACCGGGAGGGUGGGAUUGAUACUGAUGGGCUUGAGUGGAUUCGAGGUAGGCGGAAUUGACGGUGUAGCGGUGAAAUGCUUAGAUAUCGUCAAGAACACCGAUAGUGUAGACAGCUUACUAGACUUCAACUGACGCUGAGGCACGAAAGUGUGGGGAUCAAACAGGAUUAGAUACCCUGGUAGUCCACACUGUAAACGUUGAUUACUCGCUGUGUGCGAUAUACAGUACGCGGCUUAGCGAAAGCGAUAAGUAAUCCACCUGGGGAGUACGCCGGCAACGGUG
rnacentral:rRNA from 1 species